UUCAUACGGCAUGUGGUGUUCCAAGGCGGCGUCCAGAGUGACAACAGUGAAAGCACGCACCCCGUGACGUUGGAAGUGACUCAACGCCCACGAGACCACUCUAGUGGAUUUGCGCUGUACAGUGAUACACAGCCUCUCCAGCCCUCCUAAAACCUUGACUGGACGCUUCCUGCAGCUAAGUUCCCUUUCUCGAGCAAAGCUUCACCCUGAGUUUGUCCUCGGUCAUGCAGCAGUAUGAAUUCGGCGCCAUGUUUGUGCAGGAGUCUGCAGAGGUCAGAAGAAGCAUCGGAUCCCAUGGAUUCAAGACGAUCAUGCAUCGGAUCCCGUAGAACUGAAGUUCAAGAUGAUCAUGGCCAUGUGGGUGCUGGGAACUGAACCCAGGUCCUCUGCAAGAGCAGUAAAUGCUCUUAACCAGGGAGUCAUCUCUCUAGUCACCCGUUGUUUGUUUUUUGAGACAGGGUCUUGCUGUGUAGCCCCCACUAGCUUGGAACUCAAUUUGUACACCAGGCUGACCUUGAACUCUCAGAGAUCUGCCUACCUGUCUCCUGGACACUAGGAUUUAAGGCAUGAGCCAGCACGCCCUAUCCCAGAGAUUGAUUUCUGCUCCUGCUGCUGACCUACUUUCUCUGAACAUACAGGCCUCCAACAACAACAUAAACCCGAAAGGGUGCUUCCUGGGGGAAAGGAGACCGGAAUGGAGCACCCUUUUAAGGAGCUGGGUUAGCUGUUCCAUACCAGGGUUAAGAGGACUUCAGCUAGAGCCUGUUUGAACUUGGAAACCCUCUCUUGAAAUCCCAAAGGAAAGGUGUGUUUAUUUUCACAGUGAACUUUGUUCUACACAUUCUCAUAGUGAGAGUUAAAAGGACAGGUUAAGAGACAGCUCAGUCUGUACACUGAAUGUGUGAAGCUCAAUCCCUAGAACCUACUUAAAAAUACAAAAAGCUGGGCAUGGAUGUGUGUGCUUGUCAUGUACACAGUGGGAGGCAGAGCCUGGAUUUCUGAGCCUGUCUGGCUGACCAGCCUCGACCAUACAGCAGACCCCGGGUCCCCAGUGAGAGACUGCGCUUCAAAAUAAAAAGAUAGUGAGUGUUGGUGGAGGAAGAGAAGGCAGGUUAUCCUCUGGCCUAUGUGCAACACACACACACACACACACACACACACACACACACACAGAGAGAGACAGAGUGAGAGGCAGAGAGACAGAGACAGAGAGAGACAGAGAGAGAACUGGAGAGAGAGAACUGGAAAGAGAGAACUGGAGAGAGAGAGCUAGAGAGAGAGAACUGGAGAGAGAGAGCUAGAGAGAGAGAACUGGAGAGAGAGAA